UGAUUGCGAUUGCGUCUUCUGUGGACCUAUUGGGGCGGUAAGCAAAUUGGAUUGGGUCUAGGGUGUCAGGUAGGGGGGAGGUGAUAUGGUCCUUGACUAGUCUCUCAAAGCACUUCAUGAUGACGGAAGUGAGUGCUCCGGGGCGAUAGUAAUUUAGCUCAGUUACCUUCGCUUUCUUGGGAACAGGAACAAUGGUGGCCCUCUUUCAAUAUGUGGGAACAGCAGACUGGGAUAAGGAUUGAUUGAAUAUGUCCGUAAACACACCAGCCAGCUGAUCUGCGCAUGCUCUGAGGACGCGGCUGGUGAUGCCAUCUGGGCCGGCAGCCUUGCGAGGGUUAACACGUUUAAAGGUUUUACUCACGUUGGCUGCAGUGAAGGAGAGCCCGCAGGUUUUGGUAGCGGGCCGUGUCAGUGGCACUGUAUUGUCCUCAAAGCGAGCAAAGAAGUUGUUUAGUUUGUCUGGGAGCAAGACAUCAUGGUCUGCGACGGGGCUGGUUUUCCUUUUAUAGUCUGUGAUUGACUGUAGACCCUGCCACAUACCUCUCGUGUCUGAGCCAUUGAAUUAUGACUCUACUUUGUCUCUAUACUGACGCUUAGCUUGUUUGAUUGCCUUGCGGAGGGAAUAGCUACACUGUUUGUAUUCGGUCAUGUUUCCGGUCGCCUUGCCAUGAUUAAAAGCAGUGGUUCGUGCUUUCAGUUUUGCGCGAAUGCUGCCAUUAAUCCACGGUUUCUGGUUGGGGAAUGUUUUAAUAGACGCUGUGGGUACAACAUCACCGAUGCACUUGCUAAUAAACUCGCUCACUGAAUCAGCGUAUUCAUCAAUGUUAUUGUCCGACCCUAUGCGGAACAUAUCCCAGGUCCACGUGAUCGAAGCAAUCUUGAGGCGUGGAAUCCGAUUGGUCGGACCAGCGUUGAACAGACCUGAGCACGGGCGCUUCCUGUUUUAGUUUCUGUCUAUAGGCUGGGAGCAACAAAAUGGAGUCGUGGUCAGAUUUUCCGAAAGGAGGGCGGGGGAGGGCUUUAUAUGCAUCGCGGAAGUUAGAAUAACAAUGAUCCAGGGUUUUGCCAGCCCGGGUCGUGCAUUCAGAUUAGCCUUGUUAAAAUCCCCAGCUACAAUAAAUGCAGCCUCAGGAUAUGUGGUUUCCAGUUUACAUAGAGUCAAAUGAAGUUCUUUCAGGGCUGUCGAUGUGUCUGCUUGGGUGGACCUUGCCAUCAUCUUGACUAUAUUUCAUUUAUGUUUUCAUGGAAAACAAGGACAUUUCUAAGUGACCCCAAACUUUUGAAAGGUAGUGUAUAUACAGUACCAGUCAAUAUUUUUAACACAACUACUCAUUCAAGGGUUUUUCUUUAUUUUUACUAUUUUCUAAAUUGUAUGAAAUAACACUUAUGGAUUUAGGUAGUAACCAAAAAAGUGUUAAACAAAUCAAAAUAUAUUUUAUAAUUCAGAUUCUUCAAAGUAGCCAUAUUUUACCUUGAUGACAGCAUUGCACACUGUUGGUAUUCUCUCAACCAGCUUCUUGAGGUAGUCACCUGGAAUGCAUUUCAAUUAACAUGGUGUGCCUUGUUAAAAGAUCAUUUGUGGAAUUUAUUUCCUUCUUACUGCAUUUGAGCCAAUCAGUUGUGUUGUGACAAGGUAUGGGUGGUAUACAGAAGAUAGCCCUAUUUGGUAAAAGACCAAGUCCAUAUUAUGGCAACAACAGCUCAAAGAAGCAAAGAGAAAUGACAGUCCUUAAUAUAAGACAUGAAGGUCAGUCAGUACGGAAAAGUUCAAAAACGUUGAACGUUUCUUCAAGUGCAGUCGCAAAAAGCAUCAAGCGUUAUGAUGAAACUGGCUCUCAUGAGGACCGCCACAGAAAAGGAAGACCCAGAGUUACCUCUGCUGCAGAGGAUAAGUUCAUUAGAGUUAAUUGCACCUCAGAUUGCAGCCCAAAUAAAUGCUUCACAGAGUUCAAGUAACAGACACAUCUCAACAUCAACUGUUCAGAGGAGACUGCGUGAAUCAGGCCUUCAUGGUUGAUUGCUGCAACAACAUAAAACUACUAAGGGACACCAAUAAGAAGAGACUUGCUUGGGCCAAGAAACACCAGCAAUGGACAUUAGAUCAGUAGAAAUCUCGCCUUUCGUCUGAUGACUCCAAAUUUGAGAUUUGUUUGAUAAUCUAUGUUUUUUGAAAACGGUAUUGUUCAGAUGAAUUUGAUUAAUUCCAGGGAUGCACAACAUCCUGAAAUAUAUGUAGGUAUCUUUGUUAGAAAUAAUACUAUAGAAUACUAGUGAUGCUGAAUCCACAAAAUGUCUCAACUUACUCCACUCUGUUUUAUGACAGCUACUUAGAGAAAAAUUCUAGCAAUAUGGUCCACAUCCAUUCAACUGUGAACUCACUCAAGUGACACUCAAUAGCAGUGUUCUUUGGCUCGGGAUCUAUUGAAACAUUAGCUAAAGUUAGCACAGCCUUUUCUUUCUGUUGGCAGUGUGUUUGGUGGUACAUCAUAAACCAAAGUGUCCCCUCUUGGCCCAUAUCCCAGAUGUCACAUAACUUUUUACGUAAUUAAUUCUCAUCCAAGUGUGUGUGUGUGUGUGUCCAUGCGUGCAUGUGGUGCGUUGCAUGUAUGCAUGCACACACACACGUCCUAUGCCCUCUUCCCUUCAGUUUCAAACCUAUUUUAUCAGUAUCUUUGACAGACUUUAAUAUUUUAUUAACUUCCAUUAAAAUGUACCAUGCAGCAUUAAUUAGGAAGAGAAACAAACUCCAUUAAUAUUGAAGUUGUUUGUACAGAGAUAUCUCCCACCAAAAACCCAAACUCCCUUCAGUGUAAAUGUGCUGGGUUGUCUGCCUUUGACGAAGCACGAGAACAUGGUGUGACUAUCACUGGCUUUGGAGAAACUCUGUGAUCCUAGUUCAUACUCCAUUAAAGCUCUCUUCUUUGAGUCAGACAAGGUUACUCGCUCGCAGAAACUUAGCUAACAUACAUCACAACCUCUCGCAGUAGAACUCUAAAGGAGUGAAGAUCAAACAAAAUGGUGUGACAGAAGUGGAGAGACUUUUAGAAUCUACAGCAAGAAGAGUUGUUGUUUUUUCUCUCCACAGAGUUUAAUGCACUGGUAGCUUUGCUAAAAGUUUGACUGCCAAAAGUUUAAGGCUAACUGCUCCCAUAAGGGAUUUCUGAACUUAAGAAUGGGCAUAGUGUCACACAUGCACGUACACACAUCAGAUACUCACAGACACAUUUUAAAUGCACAUUUAAAUCAACACAUUUAAAGACAGAUACAGAAGUCAACUGUUGAGAAGAAAACAACAAGACAAAUUGUCCCAGCCGAGGCAUCGCUACUUAGAUGUUGCUAGUACAAUUAGGAUAUACUUCGUCUUCACUAAGAUUAAUAAUAGUUGCAGUGUGAACUUUAUUAGCAGCUAAUACGGGACCAUUACCCUGAAUUGCCGAUAAACAGGAAGAAGCUCCAAAUGGAAUGAAGCAACUAUUUGUCAUUACUACUGUAAACUCAAAUAUCAUCCAAUGAUUAUCCAUUACCGCUGGGUCAUGACAGAGCCACCAGUGGGUAAAUAUGGCAAGCAGGGAAAGAACCGUUCUUUAGAAUGAAGGAUUUUGGAAAGUCUGGGGAAUUGUUUUUUAUUUGUCUUCCUGGCACUCCAGAAUUACGUGCGAGAGGGACUUCAAAGUUCAUGAUGACACUGGUAACUUGUCCUCUUUUGUCUGUGUGUGAGUGUGUGCGUGUGCGUGCCUGCGUAUUUGCAGGGAGAGUUAACAGUCAGUACAGCUCAGGCCUUGGACCUCAGUGACAUGGCUUAGACUCAAGGGAGAAACAACACUAAGUACAGGCAGAUAGAUACAGUACCUGCAAAUAGAGUUUCGCUCCUCAGGUGUUGACGCCAAGUUGUCAGAUGACAUGGUGUACAAUGUGAUAGUGGACGUCCUCAGCAACCUGACACUGGUAGCGCAGCAGAUGAGCCAGGUCACCCAUGAUACAAGUCAGUAUUCGACGUCCAUCCAUGUCUUAAGACGUCGGGAGAAGACGUGGAAAUGAGCCACUAGUUGCAACAGUGAGAGCUAUUACCGUCAAGGCCUGGUAGUGAUGUCUGCUGAGCUGGAGGAGGUGGUGAACAGCAUUCUGAAAGGCAGUGCCCCUGGCAUGUGGAAGAAGAAGUCCUACCACAGCCUCAAACCCCUGAGCAGCUACGUCAAUGACUUCCUAGAUAGGCUCAAGUUCCUACAGGAACAUGCUCCGGGCAUAGUGUCCCCUAGGACUGGUACGAUGACGGGAUGCUGGCGGUCUUCUGGAUGUCAGGCUUCUUUUUCACCCAGGGCUUCCUGACGGGUGGCCAGCAGAACUGCUCCAGCAAACACACUAUCCCAUCGACCUGCUGGGCUUCGACAUUGAGCUGCUGCAUGACUGUCAGUGUCCGUGUAUAGGUGAUGAGGAAAGGAGUCAAUCGCAGGACACCGAACUGAGUAAAAAUUAAGUAUUUUACUCAAAUAAAAAUUCAGUAUACAAAAUCCACGCAAGGGAAAACAAGAACUACAAACACAACGAACAAUACCUACAGUAAAACACUAACGCAAAAAACAUCAUGAUGACCAGAGGGUUUAAAUAGGGAAGUAAUCAUAACCAAAUGGGAACCAGGUGUGAACAAUCAAGACAUAACCAAUCGACAAAGAAACAUGGAUCGGUGGCAGCUAGAAAGCCGGUGACGAUGACUGCCGAACGCCGCCCGAACAAAGAGAGGCACCAACUUCAGCGGAAGUCGUGACAAUGACAAAGAGUACCGCCAGCCCCCCAAAGAUGGUGAGACAGACAGAGGGGGGAGGGAAGGAAGAAUGGGUGAGAGAGGGGAGGAAGAAGUAAAGGGGUGAAGUGGAAAAAGAGAUGAAGGAUGAGAUUUCUCAUGAUUAAUCAGGAAUUCUGCUUUUCUGACACAAUCCUCCAACUGACCUAUUCCCUAGCCAAAAUCCUGAUUUUUAAUGGUAUCUUGAACACAGGUUCCCACCGUGAAGCAUGGAGGUGUGAUGGUGUGGGGGUGCUUUGCUGGUGACACUGUCUGUGAUUUAUUUAGAAUUCAAGGCACACUUAACCAGUACGGCUACCACAGCAUUCUGGUUUGCGCUUAGUGGGACUAUCAUUUGUUUUUCAACAGGACAAUGACCCAACACACCUCCAUUCUAUGUAAGGGCUAUUUGAUCAAGAUAGAGAGGGAUGGAGUGCUGCAUCAGAUGACCUGGCCUCCACAAUCACCCGACCUCAACCCAAUUGAGAUGGUUUGGGAUGAGUUGGACCGCAGAGUGAAGGAAAAGCAGCCAACAAGUGCUCAGCAUAUGUGGGAAGUCCUUCAAGACUGUUUCAAAAACAUUCCAGGUGAAGCUGGUUGAGAGAAUUCCAAGAGUGUGCAAAGCUGUCAUCAAGGCAAAGGGUGGCUACUUUGAAGAAUCUCAAAUAUAAAAUAUUUAUUUAAGACGUUUUUUGGCUACUACAUGACUCCAUAUGUGUUAUUUCAUAGUUUUGAUGUCUUCACUAUUAUUCUACAAUGUAGAAAAUAGUAAAAAUAAAGAAAAACCCUUGAAUGAGUAGGUAUGUCCAAACGUUUGACUGGUACUGUAUAUAUAUAACCGUCCUGUGUUCAG
rnacentral:lncRNA from 1 species